CCUACGGGAGGCAGCAGUGGGGAAUAUUGCACAAUGGGGGAAACCCUGAUGCAGCGACGCCGCGUGAGUGAAGAAGUAUUUCGGUACGUAAAGCUCUAUCAGCAGGGAAGAAAAUGACGGUACCUGUCUAAGAAGCCCCGGCUACCUACGUGCCAGCAGCCGCGGUAAUACGUAGGGGGCAAGCGUUAUCCAGAUUUACUGGGUGUAAAGGGAGCGUAGACGGCAGCGCAAGUCUGGAGUGAAAUCCCAUGGCUUAACAAUGGAACUGCUUUGGAAACUGGUCAGCUAGAGUGCAGGAGAGGUAAGCGGAAUUCCUAGUGUAGCGGUGAAAUGCGUAGAUAUUAGGAGGAACACCAGUGGCGAAGGCGGCUUACUGGACUGUAACUGACGUGGAGGCUCGAAAGCGUGGGGAGCAAACAGGAUUAGAUACCCGGGUAGUC
rnacentral:rRNA from 1 species